AACUCGACUGCAUGAAGCUGGAAUCGCUAGUAAUCGCGAAUCAGAAUGUCGCGGUGGAUACGUUCCCGGGUCAUGUACACACCGCCCGUCACACCAUGGGAGUUGGUAACGCCCGAAGUCAGUGACCCAACCGCAAGGAGGGAGCUGCCGAAGGCGGGACCGGUAACUGGGGUGAAGUCGUAACAAGGUAGC
rnacentral:rRNA from 1 species